rnacentral:rRNA from 1 species
UACGUAGGGUGCGAGCGUUGCCCGGAUUUAUUGGGCGUAAAGGGCGCGUAGGCGGUGAGAUGCGUCCGUUGUGAAAUCGCCCGGCUCAACUGGGCGGGGUCAGCGGAUACGGUCUCACUUGAGCAAGCUAGGGGGCAAUGGAAUUCCCGGUGUAGUGGUGGAAUGCGUAGAUAUCGGGAGGAACACCAGUGGCGAAGGCGGUUGCCUGGGGCUUUGCUGACGCUGAUGCGCGAAAGCUAGGGUAGCGAACGGG